GAGACAUUCGUAAUUUUUCCGUGUGCAUGUGUGAAUCGUAGCUGCGUCAUUCGAAGAAUUUUAAAGAAAAUAAAAAAGUAUAAGAUUGCAAGUACACGGAACAGUCCAUUUUCAAGAAGCAGACACGAGUGGUUUAAUGAACAUCGUAAAUUGUUGAUCGGCAUUCGUGAAUUGUUGCUGCGCCAUUUGCAAUAAAUUUGUUAGAUGAUGGGAAAAAUCCGAUCUUCAGAUUAUCGUUGGAGGAAUGCUGCUUCUCAUCAUUGAUAUAAGUCUUCUGCGAAGCUUCCAGAUUCUUGACCACUUCAGAAAAC